GUGCAAAAAAGAAAGACAGUACCAAGAAGGGACGUGUUAAUAGGGCCCAGACCUAUGGAUUGAAAGCAUGUGCUUUACCCAUCUGCUGUCUUGCUCCAUCUGAGACCAGAGCCAAGAUCUUCCCAGGAGCUGGAAUGCUUUCCUGAGUGGCUUGAGUUGGCGCCUGGGACUUGGAGCAGCCUUAUUGAGGUAUAAUUCAUGUGCUUGUGGGUUUGGAUGGCACAAUCUGUGUCUGGGCUAAGGAAAGCAGACUUGGCACCAGAAUUAGCCCUGACAGGUGGGGAAGACGCUGAGGAUCCAGCAUAGAGAGCAGCUCCAGAGAGCUCGACUGCAGCAGUUCUUCAGGAGGAGAAACCUGGAGCUAGAGAAGGGCAAGGCGCAGCGUCUCCAGGCCAGGGAGCAAGGGCCCUCCAGGUGGCCAGGCCAGGUGACUGUCCUCAAGGAACCCUUGUCUUGUGCCAGCAGGAUUUCUUCUCCCAGAGAGCAGGUGACAGGCACCAGCUCUGAAGUCUUUCCAGCCCAGCAUCCUCCUCCCUCAGGCAUCUGCAGGGAUCUGACUGACCACCUCU
rnacentral:sRNA from 1 species